UGAGCAGAGUGUGGGUUCGCA
rnacentral:siRNA from 1 species